rnacentral:rRNA from 1 species
CAGUAGCCGCGGUAAUACGGAGGGGGCUAGCGUUGUUCGGAAUUACUGGGCGUAAAGCGUACGUAGGCGGCUUUGUAAGUUAGAGGUGAAAGCCUGGUGCUCAACACCAGAACUGCCUUUAAGACUGCAUCGCUUGAAUCGCGGAGAGGUGAGUGGAAUUCCGAGUGUAGAGGUGAAAUUCGUAGAUAUUCGGAAGAACACCAGUGGCGAAGGCGGCUCACUGGACGCGUAUUGACGCUGAGGUACGAAAGCGUGGGGAGCAAACAGGAUUAGAUACCCCAGUAGUCCCUGUCUCUUAUAC